rnacentral:rRNA from 1 species
AACGCUGGCGGCGUGCCUAACACACUGUAAGUCGAGCGCGUCUGAUUUGAUGCUUGCAUUAAUGAAAGAUGAGCGGCGGACGGGUGAGUAACGCGUGGGUAACCUGCCCUAUACACAUGGAUAACAUACUGAAAAGUUUACUAAUACAUGAUAAUAUAUAUUUACGGCAUCGUAGAUAUAUCAAAGUGUUAGCGGUAUAGGAUGGACCCGCGUCUGAUUAGCUAGUUGGUGAGAUAACUGCCCACCAAGGCGACGAUCAGUAGCCGACCUGAGAGGGUGAUCGGCCACAUUGGAACUGAGACACGGUCCAAACUCCUACGGGAGGCAGCAGUGGGGAAUAUUGCACAAUGGGCGCAAGCCUGAUGCAGCAACGCCGCGUGAACGAUGAAGGUCUUCGGAUCGUAAAGUUCUGUUGCAGGGGAAGAUAAUGACGGUACCCUGUGAGGAAGCCCCGGCUAACUACGUGCCAGCAGCCGCGGUAAUACGUAGGGGGCUAGCGUUAUCCGGAUUUACUGGGCGUAAAGGGUGCGUAGGUGGUCUUUCAAGUCGGUGGUUAAAGGCUACGGCUCAACCGUAGUUAGCCUCCGAAACUGGAAGACUUGAGUGCAGGAGAGGAAAGUGGAAUUCCCAGUGUAGCGGUGAAAUGCGUAGAUAUUGGGAGGAACACCAGUAGCGAAGGCGGCUUUCUGGACUGCAACUGACACUGAGGCACGAAAGCGUGGGUAGCAAACAGGAUUAGAUACCCUGGUAGUCCACGCUGUAAACGAUGAGUACUAGGUGUCGGGGGUUACCCCCCUCGGUGCCGCAGCUAACGCAUUAAGU